CACGUGUGACCUCCACGAUGAAAUUCAGACUUUAAGCGCCGAUCCGAAUUCAGUAACGUCUCACCAAUCCAUAAAUCAUUUCUUUACUCCUUGAGUUUUUCGUUAUUCCAACUCAAACGAUAUCCAAAAGCAAUUUUUGUCGUAGCAACCCAUCCGAGAAUGGCUAAUUCCUUCAUCAUUCUUGUGGAAUUGAAAAACAGGGACCAGUCUCUCCAAGGUCGUCCGAUCCGUUCACCCUCUCGAUUACUCUCCAACUUUCGUUAUCAUCUCCUUGCUACUUUCGAUUUCAAAAUUUUAGUGUUUUGUUCUUUAUUUUCUUGUUGUGGAAUAGUGUUGGAGGAUCAAAGGAUUGAUCUUUUGGUUUUAACACGUUUGAUUAUAAUUUUCUGCGCAGGAAGAUGACAGGCUUAGAGUAUGUGAUCAGUGAUGCUACUGAGAUUGUCCCGACAAGAUUAUAUAUGCUGACGUAUAAUAUCGAUGCAAACGUAUAACAAGGUUAUAUCGAUGCUAACGUAUAAUAUUGUGGAUGGUACAAUAUACCAGGCUCCACAGCUUUGUAGUGUCUUUGCAGCUCGAGUUGUAUGUUUCUUCAUCCUUUCUAUUUACGUUCAUGUGUUGCUUGGAGGGCAUAGACUAGGCGAAGGUUUUUUUUUUUAGUUGCUGCUAAAGUGUUUUUUGUUUUCUUCUCUUUCUCCUUUAAGGUCGGACUGUUAUUAAUAUUUAGAUGGUUUCUCUGCAGCUGCAUUAAAGUUGGGGACGGUUAGGCAGGGUAAGAUUUUGUUUUCUUUAAUAAGUUGGUUCUGUCUCAGUUUCAUGUGAUUAAAUCUUUUCUGCUACUAAGAGUUAGUUUCAAAGUUUGUUGCAAGCUCGACUAGCUAUGUCCACAAGACCGGACUGAGAAGUAUAUGUUUUUUGUAUCAACUGCAUGUAGAUGCAAAUGUAAAAUAACUUUUCAUUAACUUAGGAAGCUCAUAUCUGAACAGAUUUAAUUUAUCAAGUACUUUAGAAUCUGUUGUUCUUUGUUGUCCAUCUUUGGUAUUCUGCAAGCUUCUGUAAUAUGAUCUAUGGUUUUCAGUUGAUUGCUAAAAACCAGAAAAAGCCUUCUGAGACAAAGCCCCCAAUGGUACACAAUCUUUCACACCACUUCUCUUCCGAUAAAUAUCACCAAUAAAAAAUAUUGUUUUUUCUUCAGUUGGGUUUUAUGGGUGUGCUCUGUAACAGAGGAAUUGAAUUUGAUGUUUUUAGAUUCAUCAAAGAUGAUGUUUUCGUAGAAAUCAGGAGCAACCCACCUUAUAUAAGAAAAAAAAAAGAAUUGAACAGUAUCUAUGUCGAAGAAGUCAAGAGUUCUUUGAGCAACGCGUUUCUUCAGGCCGAUAUUUCUUUAGCAGAGGACCGCAACAGAGGCUCUUUUCUCAGGCUUUUCUUCCGGUACCUCGGCUCUUGCUGCCCUUAUUUUUGGAAGACACUUAAUGGUUGCAAAUGCAGCAGAUGGCAGAGCCGUUCUCUGUAGGAAUGGUGAAGCCAUAGACAUGUCUCGAGACCACAAACCAAUCUACUUACCGUAAAGAAGAAAGUCUAAGGAAGUGGCGGCUUCAACGAUGCCAGUUACUUAAAUGGCAUAGUGAUUGGGACAUGUAACUACCACGAGGGCCACGAUCUCCACUCUUAGCAGAGCCAGGAGAUCAAAAAGAUACAUUUAACAGAGGAAGAGAAGUUUCUAAUAAUGGGAUGCGACGAGAUUUGGGACGUUUUGACAAUUCAAAAGGUUUUUGUAUCAUUAGGUGUGAAUUACGUCGAUCACGAUGACCCGAUAACGCUUGCCUUGAGAUCUUUAAGGCUAAAUAAGUUAGAUAACCUAACAGUGGUUGUUUGAUUCUUGUCGGCUGAUGACAUAAGAGCAAUGGUCGCUCCUCCGGUGGAGGAUCAACGGUGUUGUAUUUUUCUCAGAGAUUGAGGGCCUUAUUUGAUGGUUGAAUGAAAAGAUAAUGACAUUCC